rnacentral:rRNA from 1 species
GACGAACGCUGGCGGCGUGCUUAACACAUGCAAGUCGAACGGUAAGGCCCCUUCGGGGGUACACGAGUGGCGAACGGGUGAGGAACACGUGGGUGAUCUGCCCUGCACUUCGGGAUAAGCCUGGGAAACUGGGUCUAAUACCGGAUAGGGCCUCUGCCUGCCUGGGCGGGGGUGGAAAGCUUUUGCGGUGUGGGAUGGGGCCGCGGCCUAUCCGCUUGUUGGUGGGGUGAUGGCCUACCAAGGCGACGACGGGUAGCCGGCCUGAGAGGGUGUCCGGCCACACUGGGACUGAGAUACGGCCCAGACGCCUACGGGAGGCAGCAGUGGGGAAUAUUGCACAAUGGGCGCAAGCCUGAUGCAGCGACGCCGCGUGAGGGAUGACGGCCUUCGGGUUGUAAACCUCUUUCACCAGGGACGAAGCGCAAGUGACGGUACCUGGAGAAGAAGCACCGGCUAACUACGUGCCAGCAGCCGCAGUAA